rnacentral:rRNA from 1 species
ACACUUGGAAACAGGUGCUAAUACCGUAUAACACUAUUUUCCGCAUGGAAGAAAGUUGAAAGGCGCUUUUGCGUCACUGAUGGAUGGACCCGCGGUGCAUUAGCUAGUUGGUGAGGUAACGGCUCACCAAGGCAACGAUGCAUAGCCGACCUGAGAGGGUGAUCG